rnacentral:rRNA from 1 species
ACACCUGUUCCCAUGUCGAACACAGAAGUUA